UCCAGGCGCAGUGGUGCGCACCUGUAAUCCCAGUAGCUGGGAGGCUGAGGCAGGAGGAUCACGAGUUCAUAGCCAGCUUCAGCAGUGGUGAGGCCCUACAACUCAGUGAGAUCCUGUCUCUA
rnacentral:sRNA from 1 species